CUGUGAUUGAUCCUUCGGGUGAAGUCACAGGAGGACAGCGGCAAACGGGGUAGUUAGGCGCAGGUUACGUACCCUCUGGUUGGGGAUAGCCACGGGAAACUGUGGGUAAUACCCAAUGAUCCGUCGUGUUGUAAUGACGUGGCGGCAAAGGUGAGAUUCCGCCGGAGGAGCGGUCUGCGUGGUAUUAGCUUGUUGGUGAGGUAAUGGCUCACCAAGGCGAAGAUGCCUAGGGGGUGUGAGAGCAUGGCCCCCACCACUGGGACUGAGACACUGCCCAGACACCUACGGGUGGCUGCAGUCGAGAAUCUUUGGCAAUGCACGCAAGUGUGACCAAGCGACGCCGAGUGCUGGAUGAAGGCCUUCGGGUUGUAAACAGCUGUCAGAGGGGAUGAAAUUGUUGGGGGCUAUCCCCCUUCAUUGACAGAGCCUCAGAGGAAGCGCGGGCUAAGUUCGUGCCAGCAGCCGCGGUAAUACGAACUGCGCGAACGUUAUUCGGAAUCACUGGGCUUAAAGGGUGCGUAGGCGGCCUGUUAAGUAGGGUGUGAAAUUUGUCGGCUCAACCGGCAAACUGCAUUCUAAACUGGCAGGCUUGAGUGAGUCAGGGGUGUGCGGAACUUCCGGUGGAGCGGUGAAAUGCGUUGAUAUCGGAAGGAACGCCGGUGGCGAAAGCGGCACACUGGGGCUUUUCUGACGCUGAGGCACGAAAGCUAGGGGAGCGAACAGGAUUAGAUACCCUGGUAGUCCUAGCUGUAAACGAUGAAUACUGGGUUGGGGGAGCAUGUCUCUCCCAGCCGUAGCGAAAGCGUUAAGUAUUCCGCCUGGGGAGUAUGGUCGCAAGGCUGAAACUCAAAGGAAUUGACGGGGGCUCACACAAGCGGUGGGAGGAUGUGGCUUAAUUCGAGGCAACGCGAAGAACCUUAUCCCGGACUUGACAUCUAUGGAUUAGCUCUGUGAAAGCAGAGUGACGCCUUCGGGUGGAACAUAGACAGGUGCUGCAUGGCUGUCGUCAGCUCGUGCC
rnacentral:rRNA from 1 species